rnacentral:misc_RNA from 1 species
AAGGCAUAGGAGAAGUUCAAGUAUGUCUCCUCGUUUAAAAAUAUUAUGCUUUUGCUAUUGCUCAUGUUUGUGAUGUUUGUGAUAUCACUUGCUAUAUUCUGUGAUGAUAGUUGCUACUUAAUCUAAUGUAGAAAUGGACUUAAAUGCUUUGUUAGAAUAUUACUAAUGUUGGGUGUUCAUGUACUUGCUUAUAUCAGUCGAGAAACACUUCUAAUUGCAG